GUCUCAAAGGUUAAGCCAUGCAUGUCUAAGUAUAAGCAAUUAAACAGCGAAACUGCGAAUGGCUCAUUAUAUAAGUUAUCGCUUAUUUGAUAGUACCUUACUACUUGGAUAACCGUGGUAAUUCUAGAGCUAAUACGUGCUAAAAAUCCCAACUUCGGAAGGGAUGUAUUUGUUAGAUUAAAAACCAAUGC
rnacentral:rRNA from 1 species